rnacentral:rRNA from 1 species
AUUGAACGCUGGCGGCAGGCCUAACACAUGCAAGUCGAGCGCGCGGCGGACGGGUGAGUAAUGUAUGGGGAUCUGCCCGAUAGAGGGGGAUAACUACUGGAAACGGUGGCUAAUACCGCAUACUAUCGGAUGAACCCAUAUGGGAUUAGCUAGGUGGUGGGGUAAAGGCACACCUAGGCGAAGAUCUGUAGCUGGUCUGAGAGGAUGAUCAGCCACACUGGGACUGAGACACGGCCCAGACUCAUACGGGAGGCAGCAGUGUGGAAUGUUGGAAAAGGGAGGCAACCCUGGUCCAGCCAUGCCGCGUGCAGGAAGAAGUUCUUCGGAUUGUAAACUGCUUUUGUCAGGGAAGCGGUACCUGAAGAAUAAGCACCGGCUAACUACGUGCCAGCAGCCGCGGUAAUAC